rnacentral:rRNA from 1 species
AGUGGGGAAUCUUAGACAAUGGGGGCAACCCUGAUCUAGCCAUGCCGCGUGAGUGAUGAAGGCCUUAGGGUUGUAAAGCUCUUUCAGCUGGGAAGAUAAUGACGGUACCAGCAGAAGAAGCCCCGGCUAACUCCGUGCCAGCAGCCGCGGUAAUACGGAGGGGGCUAGCGUUGUUCGGAAUUACUGGGCGUAAAGCGCACGUAGGCGGACUGGAAAGUUGGGGGUGAAAUCCCGGGGCUCAACCUCGGAACUGCCUUCAAAACUAUCAGUCUGGAGUUCGAGAGAGGUGAGUGGAAUUCCGAGUGUAGAGGUGAAAUUCGUAGAUAUUCGGAGGAACACCAGUGGCGAAGGCGGCUCACUGGCUCGAUACUGACGCUGAGGUGCGAAAGCGUGGGGAGCAAA